GUAACAAGGUCUCCGUUGGUGAACCAGCGGAGGGAUCAUUACAGAGUUGCAAAACUCCAACAAACCAUCGCGAAUCUUACCCGUACGGUUGCCUCGGCGCUGGCGGUCUGGAAGGCCCUCGGGCCCCCGGAUCCUCGGGUCUCCCGCUCGCGGGAGGCUGCCCGCCGGAGUGCCGAAACCAAACUCUUGAUAUUUUAUGUCUCUCUGAGUAAACUUUUAAAUAAGUCAAAACUUUCAACAACGGAUCUCUUGGUUCUGGCAUCGAUGAAGAACGCAGCGAAAUGCGAUAAGUAAUGUGAAUUGCAGAAUUCAGUGAAUCAUCGAAUCUUUGAACGCACAUUGCGCUCGCCAGUAUUCUGGCGAGCAUGCCUGUUCGAGCGUCAUUUCAACCAUCAAGCUCUGCUUGCGUUGGGGAUCCGCGUCUGACGCGGUCCCUCAAAAACAGUGGCGGGCUCGCUAGUCACACCGAGCGUAGUAACUCUACAUCGCUAUGGUCGUGCGGCGGGUUCUUGCCGUAAAACCCCCAAUUUCUAAGGUUGACCUCGGAUCAGGUAGGAAUACCCGCUGAACUUAAGCAUAUCAAUAAGCGG
rnacentral:rRNA from 1 species